ensembl:lncRNA
UGGGGGACGCGGCCGAGCGGAAACGCUGCACAGAGGAGCCUCAGCGAACCAAGAAAAAAGAGAAAGUGGCAACGAAAACAAGGGCAAAUUGAACCCUCCUCGGGGAUUUCCAGUGAACUAACCCGACUCGGACAUUCAAUAAAUACAUCGUCCCUAAUGAGUGUGCGUGCGCGUGCACCCCGCACCCGGCCGCCCUGGACGCAGACGCGGAGCCGCCGUGGUGCUGGGGGCUGCCCUUCUCCGGCGAAUAAUUCCUCUGCCGCGCGCAGUCAGUUUCGGUGGCGGGGGUGGGGGCUUGGUUAGGUCCGGAGCUCCCCAGCUUAGCCGCAGCCUUGAAGCCCUUGCGAGGUCUCGUGAUGAAUGGUGGGCGCGGAGCACUUGUGUGUGAUGUGGUCCCUCUCCUGUGUGCAGGGGGAGAGAUGCCCUCCUAGGUGGGUUUUAGCGGAUCCAUUAUUGCGAAGAUAUAGACCUGAAGGGCAGUGGUAACCAAACCCCAGACAGAACGGAUUUUUACCUCUGCGUCCCCUUAAGGUUCCCUUUCCUAUUUAUGUAUGCGUGUAUGUAUAUAUGGAAGAUGGAACACAGAUUUCAUUCAAUAAAUCUGAGAUCUCCAGGUGCAGGCGUUUGAAUAGUCGGUGCCAGCACCCCGUGUUUUCUUUUCCUGCCGAUUUUGCUUGGAUCCGACUCAAAAACCGAGAGAGUCUCGUGGUUUUGUUUACACUGAAUGGGGAGGGUAGGAACAGAGCCAUGGGGCCCCUUUCAUUAAUAUACAGUGAGGAUUUUGUCUAAAUUACCGCUAUGAAUUUCACAGUACACGCUUUCAAAAGCAGUCUCAGGUGGCCUGAUGAAACGGGAGAGCGCCUCCGCAAACACAUCCACUUUCUUUCUUUUCAAGGAGGGUGUGUGCGCGUAUGGGAAGCCCCCCAAAACGCCGUGCUCCUCGAAAUCAGAAAUGCACUUCUGUUGCGAGCUGGGUCCCCUCGGUCCUCCGCCUCCGCGUACUUAGUUCUCCAGUCGCUCCCCAGCCCCACCCAUCCGCCCCCUCCCUCUGCCGAGUGUGAUUGUUUUGUCUGGAAAAAAAAAAAAAAUCCAAAGUAUAUAACAAGGGGAGAACAGUUAGUGCUGACUUUCAUUUGCAUACAUUUUCAUAUAUUUUGGUGAAAAUAAUAGACGAGUGGAGAGCCGGGCUUAGAGGAGUCAGAGGAAAGAGAAGACUGAGGAGGUACCGCUUCUGGGGAGUUGAGAAUAUGUCUUUUCCCCCCACCAGUCCCUUAUUUAUUUUUUUUUUAAUAAAACCUCUUCCUUUAUUUUAAUAUCUAAUCCUGGAAGUUUGCUCGGCCUUAAUGCUAUUUGACUUCCAAGAAGAACUGAAAUAAAUUAUGUUCAGAGCUCCUUAGAAGAAAUACCCUUACAGGUUGAAAGUGUCGUUACCUCCACAGGGACUUCCUAGUUGCCCUCUGCAGGAGAUCAUAAGACAUCCCAGGAAAUGGAAGUUUUGCUGAGUAAAUGUGAAACAGGCUUCGGGAUGGAGAGAAAAAUCAGCUGUUCAGCUCCCUCUCUGCUCUCCAGUGAAAGCCCUGAGACUGGAAAUCUCUACGAUUCUUCUCCAGUGCUUUUCAAGUUUUAAUCGAAGAACAUCUUUGUGAUCAGAUUAACCAAAUAUUGACCCCCAAAAGGAAGCUAAGACUCAGAGAAGAUCGGUAGAGACCUUUCAAGCCUCUAAUAUGUCCCAGGAAAAGGCAGAAUUUACUGAAGCACCAACUUGAAUUCCUUUACCACACGCAUCACUCAGGCUGCUGCCUCUUAGCUGUUGGAAUCAGAGCAUACUUGUUGCAAGUGGCUACGGUGAGGAAAUGACCAGCUCGAAGCAGAUACUAAUUUUCCCUGCCCCCUCACCCCCACCCCAAUGAGCUGGCACAUGCUGGAGGUGGUGCAUGGCAGAGCUGCGCUGCUCCUAAGAGGUAUGUUUCUGAAGAGAACGGGAAAUGGGCACCGCUGCACACAGGUGUGGUCCUCUGUGGUCCCACCCGUCUUCCCAGAAAGUCCCUGGAGUAGCCACACCUAAGAAAGUGAUCCAAUCAAGAAAACAAAACAUUCCACCCUGCAUCAGGGUCAGCAGUUUAGGAGGUGACGGGAACUGAGUUCUGCGAUAUUGCUGUCGCCAGUGGUGACUUGCACAGAGGAGCCCCUGGAGCCCCUGAGAGCCACACCUGGCCCCUCGGACACCAAACUCAUGGCCGCCUAGCACUCAGAUGACGGGGGAGCUGUGCCUUCUUGGCAGGCAGGACCCUGCCAACAGGUAAGACUUCCUGGACUGGGAGUAAACACAGGCAGUCCUUCCAGAUCAGGUGUGCGUGUCUGUCUGGCGGAGAGGAGGCAGGGAUCAAUUGCAGGGGAAAGAACUUGAGCUGGUGCACGAGGAAAAUGAGAGCUUUUCUUCCUCAGUUCAAGAGCUGCCUCAGCAGCCAAUGACAGAGUAUCUGCCUGGGGUUUUAUGUUGUUUUACACCAGGUAAAGCUGCUUUCAGCCAACAAUAUUCCCUGUGCCAGGGACUGUGCACGGACUGGGAGAAGAAGUGGAGGACAGACUGUGAUGAUCUCUGACUUUCUGGAGGCUCAGCUGAACUGGGGAGAUGGAUGCUGCAUGAGAGACUAAGCUAACAGAGGAAAUGAUGCUCUGAAGGAAGUGGAAAUGGUGAACAUCAGGGCUGGACUGUUUUGGAUCUGAAGGCAAAGCAAGCACUUUCUGAGGAGAGCACCUUUAAACCAAAUUAACAAUUGUGGUGCUGGAGAAGACUCUUGAGAGUCACUUGGACUACAAGGAGAUCCAACCAGUCAAUCCUAAAAGAAGUCAAACGUGAACAUUCAGUGGAAGGGCCGAUGCUGAAGCUCCAAUACUUUGGUCACCUGAUGCAAAGAGCCAACUCAUUGGAAAAGAGCCUGAUACUGGGAAAGAUUGAAGGCAGGUGGAGUAGGGGACAACAGAGGAUGAGAAAGUUGGAUGGAAUCACUGACUCAAUGGAUAUGAGUUUGAGAAAACUCUGGGAGACGGUGAAGGACAGGAAAGGCUGGCGUGCUGCAGCGUAUGGGGUUGCAGAGUCAGAUGUGUUCAGUCAAAACUGAAGAACAAGAGCAACAACAAUGAAGAGACAGGACCAGCAGGUGGAGAAAGGCAGGAGGCACCUCAGCCUCUCCACAGAGACUGCAGAGCAGUGAGCCGGUCAGGAUGAGACGUCCAGCAGAUGGGAUGCUUCUCACUGCAACGUUGAGGGUGGUCCUUUUAACUCCAUCCGCCCAUUUGAAGGCCAGGCUUCUCCAGAAACACCCUCAACAGACACACCCCGAAAUACAUUUCACCAGCUCUCUGGGCCUCCCUUAGCCCCAUCAAGUUAACCCAUCAUACCAACCAUCACAAAUAACUGUGUGUGAAGGGUGAAAGCCCCAUGUCUCUGAAGCCAGUGGGUGUUCACAAGAGGAUUAUGGGAAGAGGGACAGAAGUGCCUGGAUGUACUGUUCAGAACUGGCAGGACCGGCCUCUAAAAGGAAGACUUAAAAUGAUGUUUUUGACAUCAACACUUUCCCCAAAGUUGAUGUAAGUCCUGGGGUUUUGGCAAAGGCCCACAGGCUACCUCUGACCUGUUGUCUCUUAAAAAAAAUUUUUUUUAUUUAUUAAUUUAUUUUUGGCUGCACUGGGUCUUUGUUGCUACACAGGCUUUUCUCUAGUUGCGGGCUACUCUCUAUUUGUGGUGCAUGGGCUUCUCAUCUGGUGGCUUCCCUUGCCACAGAGCACGG